GGAGGGCGCGGCGGUCGCUG
rnacentral:sRNA from 1 species